rnacentral:lncRNA from 1 species
AUGUCUCCUGAUUCACACAAGCUCCUCCAUAGUUUCAGUGCAAGUGACUCAAUUUCACCCGUAGAUCAGCCAUUCUUGGAGACAAUAGAAACUAGCGGGAAGGCCUCCAAUGAUUGCAUCAAUGAUGAAGAAGACAUGAGUAUCGGAGCGGAUGAUAGUUACAACUCCGCUUCAGAAAGCACACAUACUCUAACCACAGCUUUCGAAAAUGUUCAUCCUAGUUUGAGUGAUAGUACCCAUGUAAAAGAUCUCAUGUUGAAAUCUACAUCCUCAGUUGAAAUGUCAUUUAGUGAAGCUGUCUUGCCACGUGAUCCUGGGAGUAAUAGCCGAUCGUCAACAGUCUCGUCAGCUCACAUUGCAGUUGAGAAUGAAAAAUAUCCUCACCAAUAAUCAUUGAUGCACCAAAUUUGGUAUUAAAUGAUAACAUCAGUGGAGGAGGAGAGCCUGUUAUCAUUGAAACGCUUGAAUCUUCCAUGCAAUCGAGCGGAAACAUUUCAGUUUUAUCCAAUGUGUCCUUUUGUGAUAGUCCGUCCAACAUAACCAACACUUCAAGAACUUCUCUGAAUACGUUAGAUUCAAGUAGUUGCGAAGAGGGAACAUUGAUGGGCAGCAGUUCAGAUGAAACUCCAGUUGGUAGCACGAAAACCAUGUCCUUGUCCAUCAAACAUCAACAAGUUCACUGAAAAUAUGCUAGCUGAAGCAAUGACAGAAAGUCAGCAAGCAACUAGUAUGUUAAUAGCCGGUGAUAACUCUCCUGAAAGGUAUGCUAAUUUUUAAAAUAUAUUAAAUUGAAUCUUGACAAGCAGUUCCACUAAUUACUGUGAUUCUAUUAAAAAUAUACAAUGUACACAUUACAACAAAUUAAAGUUCUGUUAUUCAUUAAUAAGCGGUGGAAAUGUCAUAGCUGAUGCUAUAUUUUGAGAUAAAAAUUUCAUCCAUUAACUUUGGCCCAACUAAAGGCAAAAUAUGUAAUUAUUUUAUCCUUACAACAUUUUGAGAAAAUCUUUAAAAGAAAAAAGAAUUGUGAUUCCUUUGGAUUUAUUUGAAAAUAUUUACUAUUUAAGUUGUAAUCUGCUUUUACACUUUUGCAGUCGCUCAGAACUCCUGAAAAUUGGAUCAAGUGGUCAUACCUCUGGUGAUGAAUUGGAAACGACAACCUCAUCAGACAUAGAAAUUAUAUCCAGGUUAGAAGCAAAUUUUCUACCUGACUAGCCACUGUCAAUGUUUAUAUAUUGUGUCUCCUCUCUCAACCUUAUCAAGAUUAC